rnacentral:rRNA from 1 species
UGUAGCAAUACACUGAUGGCGACCGGCAAACGGGUGCGGAACACGUACGCAACCGUUCCUUUAACUGGAGAAUAGCCCGGGGAAACCCGGAUUAAUACUCCGUAACAUUAUGAAGUGGCAUCACUUUAUAAUUAUAGCUCCGGCGGUUGAAGAUGGGCGUGCGUCUGAUUAGGUAGUUGGCGGGGUAACGGCCCACCAAGCCUACGAUCAGUAACUGGUGUGAGAGCACGACCAGUCACACGGGCACUGAGACACGGGCCCGACUCCUACGGGAGGCAGCAGUAAGGAAUAUUGGUCAAUGGACGCAAGUCUGAACCAGCCAUGCCGCGUGGAGGAUGAAGGUCCUCUGGAUUGUAAACUUCUUUUAUUUGGGAAGAAACCCCCGAUUUCUAUUGGGGUUGACGGUACCAGAUGAAUAAGCACCGGCUAACUCCGUGCCAGCAGCCGCGGUAAUACGGAGGGUGCAAGCGUUAUCCGGAUUCACUGGGUUUAAAGGGUGCGUAGGCGGGUUGGUAAGUCCGUGGUGAAAUCUCCAAGCUUAACUUGGAAACUGCCGUGGAUACUAUCAAUCUUGAAUAUAGUGGAGGUGAGCGGAAUAUGUCAUGUAGCGGCGAAAUGCUUAGAUAUGACAUAGAACACCCAUUGCGAAGGCAGCUCGCUACACUAUUAUUGACGCUGAGGCACGAAAGCGUGGGGAUCAAACAGGAUUAGAUACCCUGGUAGUCCACGCCCUAAACGAUGAUUACUCGACAUCAGCGAUACACUGUUGGUGUCUGAGCGAAAGCAUUAAGUAAUCCACCUGGGAAGUACGACCGCAAGGUUGAAACUC